AACGAACGCUGGCGGCAUGCCUAACACAUGCAAGUCGAACGAGACCUUCGGGACUAGUUGCGCACGGGUGCGUAACGCGUGGGAACCUGCCCUUAGGUUCGGAAUAACUCCCCGUAGGGGGUGCUAAUACCGGAUAAUGUCUUCUGAUCAAAGAUUUAUCGCCUUUGUUGAGGCACGCGUUGGUUUAGCUGGGUGGUAGGGUAAAAGCCUACCACGGCGACGAUCCAUAGCUGGUCUGAGAGAAUGGUCAGCCACACUGGGACUGAGACACGGCGCAGACUAUUACACGAAGCAGCAGUGGCUAAUACUGCCCAACGGGCGAAAGCCUGAUCCAGCAAUGCCGCGUGAGUGAUGAAGGCCUUAGAGUAGUAAAGCUCUUUUACCCGGGAUGAUAAUGACAGUACCCAGAGAAUAAGCUCCGGCUAACUUCGUG
rnacentral:rRNA from 1 species